ACAUUCUAUGCCGUCACCAAAAAGUGAGACAAAAUCCAUGUCUGGUAAUGAUUAUCAAGCUGUAUACAACAACACGGACGACCCCGACAUCUAUACCAAUGUCUGAUCAAAAUUCAAGACAUCAGAACGAAGAAAAAUGUGCGUAUGAAGCAAUUUUAAACUGCUUACCAUUGUUACACUUUAUUCAUGAAAAAAAAAAAAUUCUUUCAUGCAUAUUAACUAUCUCAUUUAAGCUUCAAACACAGUAAACAUAUUUUACAGGCUAACAAUUUUUAUUAUUAAUUUUUUAAAUAUUUACUCUUAAAUCAAAAAAAUUGUUGAAUCCUAUUGUAAUUGUGUUAUUGUAUGUCAUGUAGCGUUUGUGAGUUACUGGUUGCCUUUUGUUCAUUUAUUCACUUAUUUUUCUUUAUUUUGUUUUCUGUCGGAUUUCCAGAUCCUGCUUUUAAUUUAGGCUCAAUUAGGAUGUUUAGCAAUAAAACCUGUUGUGGUGAUGAGCUGACUGUUGUUAUUAUAUGAACUUUUAGGGACCUUCUCGAAAAUGAGAUGAUUCAUCUCAAGGGGCUAUCCUAUUUAAUAAAUAAAUUAAAAUUAU